UGUGACAGAAUAGUGUGAUAAAUUUAAGAUUUAUUUAUAAAGUCAACCUUUCUUUAGAA
rnacentral:tRNA from 2 species